rnacentral:rRNA from 1 species
GCUUGUCUCAAAGAUUAAGCCAUGCAUGUCUAAGUAUAAAUAACUACACAGUAAAACUGCGAAUGGCUCAUUAAAACAGUUAUAGUUUAUUUGAUACAUUUUAAAUGGAUAACUGUAGAAACACUAGAGCUAAUACAUGCGCAAAUACCCAACUGCUUGUCGGACGGGUAGCAUUUAUUAGAUUGAAACCAAUGCAGUCUUCGGGCUGGUAUUGUGUUGAGUCAUAAUAACUGUGCGGAUCGCGUUUUACGCGAUAAAUCGAUUGAGUUUCUGCCCUAUCAGCUUUGGAUGGUAGGAUAUGGGCCUACCAUGGCAUUAACGGGUAACGGGGAAUUAGGGUUUGAUUCCGGAGAGGGAGCCUUAGAAACGGCUACCACAUCCAAGGAAGGCAGCAGG